rnacentral:rRNA from 1 species
UCCGUAGGCGGAUCUGUAAGUCAGUGGUGAAAUCUCAUAGCUUAACUAUGAAACUGCCAUUGAUACUGCAGGUCUUGAGUAAAGUAGAAGUGGCUGGAAUAAGUAGUGUAGCGGUGAAAUGCAUGGAUAUUACUUAGAACACCAAUUGCGAAGGCAGGUCACUAUGUUUUAACUGACGCUGAUGGACGAAGGCGUGGGGAGCGAACAGGAUUAGAUACCCUGGUAGUCCACGCCGUAAACGAUGCUAACUCGUUUUUGGGUCUUUAAGAUUCAGAGACUAAGCGAAAGUGAUAAGUUAGCCACCUGGGGAGUACGUUCGCAAGAAUGAA